GUAGGUGAACCUGCGGAAGGAUCAUUACUUGUUGUAUUCAAAAUGCACUCAUACUGCCUUUGAUUACAUACAAACAAACACCAAUCUGCGCUCUUUCUUUUUUUCACUCCAUUACACCCUCAUUUUUUAUGUCAACUGAUUGAGUUGAGCGUGGCCUGUACUUGAUUGUACUGUCCCCUCUCAUCUGUGGAUCGCCCUCUCGGGGGUGUAUCCACUUUUGUAACAACUCACUGUGGUGAUCGUGUCACACACGAUCUCCUCAGUGUACUUGAAACAACUCCUAACAAUGGAUAUCUCGGCUCUC
rnacentral:misc_RNA from 1 species